rnacentral:rRNA from 1 species
AACCUGCCCACUGAAAAUUUAAAUGGCCGCAGUAAUUUGACUGUGCAAAGGUAGCAUAAUCAUUAGUUUUUUAAUUAAAAGCUUGUAUGAAGGGUUGGACGAGGUAAAAUCUGUCUCUAUUUAAUUUAAAUUAGAAUUUAAUUUUUAAGUUAAAAAGCUUAAAUGUUAUUAAAAGACGAGAAGACCCUAUAGAUCUUUAUAUUAUUUAUAUUAAUUUUAAUUAAGAAUUUUUUAUUAAUUAAUUUAAAUAUUAUUUUAUUGGGGUAAUAAAAAGAUUAAAAAAAUUCUUUUUAAAUAUAAACAUUAAUUUAUGAAUAUAUGAUCCAAUUUUAUUGAUUAUAAGAUUAAGUUACCUUAGGGAUAACAGCGUAAUUUUUUUAGAGAGUUCAUAUCGAUAAAAAAGUUUGCGA